AUGGGCAUGGCCGGAAAUAGGGGGGCGGUCGUCGUGGUGGUGGAGGAGGUGCUGGUCGGGGCAACUCAUCUCGCGCGGCAAGUGACUAGAGAAGAUCCUCAACGCAAGGGCAGAUGCAGCAGAUGCCGCAACAGUUGGGCGGCUUCCACCACCAAGCCCCUCGGAUGCAAGCACACCAAGGUAAUUUUGGUCCUACCCAGCAAUUUAAUGGCCAGGGGGAAUGCAAGGGAUGCAUCCAUGGCAAGGGUUCCAAUUCCCACAGUUCAAUCAGUGGCCGCAACAAUUUCUCCCUGUGGUGCCUAUUAUGCAGCAAUAUCAACAGCAGUAUGGUCCCCCCCCUGCACAAUUCCAGUCUGGACCUGCUCAAUUUCAGGGUUUUGGGGAAGGGCAGUCAAGCACCUUCCAACAGAAUCAAUAGAACUUGCAGCAGAAGAAGAAAACCAAAAGUUUCAACUCCCAAAAGGAACAACAGGGGAAAUCAAGCAGUGUUGA
rnacentral:rRNA from 1 species